GCUAGACUGGCACCAUCACGCUGUGCCACAGUUAGGGGGUUGCAAAGGUGACCUCUCGCGUGGGCAUCCCACUCAGCCAGCUCCUGCUGAGAGCAUGAAUAUUCCAGCAGCAGCUGCUGCCUCCUGAUGGGGCGGUCUCUCCACCAGCCUGCCCCCUCCUCUGCCUCCUCACAAACCCCUCCUUGUCCCCCAGUGCUAUAAGAGAGGGGCUCCUCCAGGGCUCUGUCCACAACAUGACCAUGUGGCAGCUGCUUCUGCUCACCCUGAUCUGUGGAGGUGCAGCCGACCUGCCCCUCCCAGAUGGAUGUGACAAGGGUGCUGCAUACUGGUGCAGGAACUUGAUGACAGCCAUCCAGUGCGGUGCCUGGGAACACUGCAUGCAGACAGGAUGGAACCAGGCCAGCAACGAGGACCUGUGUGCAGAUUGCAAGCAACUUGUGGCGAUCCUCAUUCGCAUGGCCAAAGAGUCGCCCUUUAAGGUGAGCCACUAACCAGGAUAGGCAAAACACCAGGCAGGAAGCA
rnacentral:lncRNA from 1 species